CACGCUAGAGCUGACGGGGCUCGGCGCGAGUAGAGGAACCGCGUCGCCCCCUUCCACUCGUCCCCUUCCGCCUCGCCCCCCAUUCGCCGCCGUCCGGGGAAACCUAGUGCCGCCGGGUCCAAGACUUCACUGCCGCCGGCGCCCAUCUGUUCACCGGCCUCAGCGGCAUGGGUACGAGCUGUAGUGUUGUGGGGGCAAGUCGCCAUGACACAAGCUUGGGAGAGCACUACGUCACCUACCGUGAAACAAGCUUGGAGCAACAACAAACUUGCUAUUGUGUCUGAAGGGUAUUAUUCAUCUACAUGAAAAACUGAAACUGACACCAACGUGCAGGCUGCCGUUCUUGCUGAGAAUUAGGAGCGAGCAGCUACCAAUCUAUCGGAGCUUUGUGCAGCUUUGUGCCUAUAGCUUUGUGCAGCUAAUACUCUGACAGUAUCAGUGAUCAGCCAGUAGCACUGCACCCAUAUAGUUUGAUUGGAUCGAACUCGCUACCCCGUCUGCAGGAUACCGAGCUCAUCACCUAGAUUGCUACUGCUAGCUUACUGAGAAAAUGAGAUCCUAGAAGUUAAUGCUGCUGUUGAUGAACUGUCAUCAGAUUGGUGCAGAAGCAAGUCAUCGCAGAGCAGGGAUGCCUGUCAGUUGCCACCUCCUACACUCACACUCUUUGGAUCUGAUAUCCACCACAUACUGCUUUUCUCUCUCAUGGACUUGAAAGAUCCUUUGUCCAGCUGGAAGUGCAUAGCAAACAUUAGCAUAAUCUGCAUUUUUUGCAACCUUUUUCCUUAUCUUAGGACAAAUGGUGCCUACAAAACCAAAAAGUUCCUCCUGCUUGCUGUAGUACCUAGUCAUCAAUUGUUGUUUCACUCCCUGCAGCAUACUAAGGAUAGGCAUCUCCCUGUCCUCAAGAAUAUAUUUGUUGAAAACCUCAUAGUUGUUGUUCAACAACAGAUCGCAUUUAGGAAAUUCAGCAAAGAAGGCUCUUACCCAAGUCUUAGGUGGCAUCUUCUCCAACCACUCAAAAGCUUCCUGAUCAAGUGCUCUCAUCAAAUCGACACAUCCAAAUUAUGAUUCCACCUUAUCACCGUGCUUGAUCUUGCACAAGUCCACAAUUGGUUCUUCAAGAUGUCUCCUUUGAAACCUGCAUCUCUGAAAUUUGCCCAAAGAUGCCUCACACAAAAAUGGUAUUCUGACUCAGGAAAUACUUGCUCCACGGCAGGAACGAGGCCCUGGAAAUAAUAUAACAACAAUUAUAAAAGUUGCAAGUAAUAUGACAGGAAAAUAAUACAAACAUCGGUCCAGAGAUAAGUACCUUUUGUUUAUCAGUAAUGACAGUCCAGGGAUAUGUAUUAUCAAUACCCAAAUCAUCUUUUGGAGUUUGCAAGAACCACUUCCAUGUUGCCAAUGACUCCACUUCAACCACACCCAUUGCUAUUGGGUAAAUGCAAUCAUUGGGGUCAAUGCCAACUGCCGUGAGUAUCUGGCCACCAAAUUUGGUCUUGAUAUGGCAUCCAUCCAGGCAUAUGACAAGUAUGCACCCAGAAAGAAAACCUCUCUUGCAGGCAUCCAAAGACAUGUAACAAGUGGAGAAAUGAUUGUUAACAGUGUUUAGAUAAAAUGUGCUACCUGGAUUACUCCUCCUCAAUUCUUGCCCAUAGUCCCAAAGUUGGUUGUACUACUCACUCUCAUCUCCAUAUAUCUUCUUGAGGGCCAGCCUCCUUGCUCUGGCUAGUUUGCUUCUAGAAGGAGUAAGAUUCCAUUCCUUCUGCACAAUUCUUGCAAAGUUGGCAAGAUUCAUCUUGUCAUCAGCUCUGAAACUGUCUAGGUACUUCUCAGCCAGCCAAUUAGAGGUGCACUUUUUCAGCACCCACUCCUUUUGGCAAUUAUGUUGGCCAAAAUAUGUCUUGAUCAUAAAAGCCUUCACUCUGCUAUCUUUGGAAGCAUACAGUGUCCAGGGGCAGCCAUCGGCAUAGUGUGCUCUAAUUCUCCUUUGAUCAUUUCUUGGCAACUUAAUAUCAACCCUAUUCUUCAGGCAAUACUCAGUUAUUGCCUUCCUCAAGAUCUCUACUGACUCAAACACCAUGCCAACCUUGAAUGAAGGGUUACUCAUGUCCUCUGUCCUGAAAUUCUUGAACUUGAGAUUAAUCUGUCCCUCCACAUCAUCAUCUGCUACUUGCAGACCUUCAUCAUCACUGGAUUCAUGAUCUCCUUCCUCAUAGGUUACUGCAGUAGACCUCCUCCCAAUUCUCUUUCCUUUGCCUACUCCCUCAUCAACCACAUCGUCAUCAACAUAAUCCACAAACAAAUCAUCAUCUCCACGCUCAACCUUAUUGUCACUGUCCACAAAGUCAUAAUCCUCACUGUCAUCAUCACCGCAAUUGUCAUUUGUUACAGGCUCACUCUUCUGUUCAUCUACACUACUUCUCAAGUUUUUGUAGAAAUCAGGGAGGCUCAGGUUCCUUCUUUUCAUCUACGGGGUUCACAACCAAAUCAUCCCAAUUUACACCACCCAGAGUGCCUUCAUGGUCAAUGUAAACUACCAUAGUUUGUACCCUACCCACCACUGAUCUCAUUGAUUCAUUGUCUGCACGAUCUUUGAUUAGUCUCAACCCAUCUGAGAGAUCUUUCCCUGGUAAUAACCAAUACACUUUCAAACUAUCCGUAUCAGAAUCAGAGUAACCCAGAAUAUAUAGGAAAUCUUCACACCAUCGCGGAGAUAAAAUAUUAGCAUCGCAAUAAUCAAACCAAUCAAUUUUCUCAUCAACAUAUGUCCUCAACUGACCAGACCCAACGAAAAACCCACCAUGAUGCAAUUCGAUUGUGAAAAGAUUGUCACUACCACCUACAGAACAAAG